rnacentral:rRNA from 1 species
UACGUAGGGUGCGAGCGUUAAUCGGAAUUACUGGGCGUAAAGCGUGCGCAGGCGGUUUUGUAAGACAGAGGUGAAAUCCCCGGGCUCAACCUGGGAACUGCCUUUGUGACUGCAAGGCUAGAGUACGGCAGAGGGGGAUGGAAUCCGCGUGUAGCAGUGAAAUGCGUAGAUAUGCGGAGGAACACCGAUGGCGAAGGCAAUCCCCUGGGCCUGUACUGACGCUCAUGCACGAAAGCGUGGGGAGCAAACAGG